ACUAACAGUUCCAUUACAUUGGUAAAGGAGUGCCAUUACGUCAACAAUUCGUGCAGUACAAAAAUAGCAGUGCAAAGCACUUAAUGUGGCAUGUCGUUGUUGAGAAAUUGACGGCGGUGAAGAAACUAAUGAUAGGGAGGACCGUAAGACGUGAUUUUACUCGAACAGCCCCAUCGAUUCCAACAGUUGCUUGAAAAAUUGGCAAAGACCGAAUUUGGAAAACUCCUUUUGUCAAAAGCAAUACAAUUUCAGGCAGAUGGUUCUUACUGUUCAGUUAACAAACCAGCAUAUAGGCAAAAACAAAUCCUUUCUGGAUCUUGACGAAGAAGUUGAGCCCUAGAGAUACCUCUGAGAAAUCAAAGUUGAGAAAGAAGAGAACAAAUUUAUUCCACACCCUGCAAGACUAUCAUGUUGAUUUACAGCUAAAGUUUUCGGUGACAUGGGUGCCUGUCGGUGCCUGUGACAAUUGGGAUAAAAUGGUCGAAUAAUCCAGUAGGGCAACCUGUAUCUUUCAAAUCCAAGGAAAUCCUAUUAGAAAGGUAGAAAGGUGAAUAAGUGGCUGUACGAUGUCCACCAGGUAGCGCGAGUGUCUUCAGGGACGCUUAUCGGCCAUUUUGAUUAUUGAUCCAAGACGCAGCCGAAAUGGGUUGUUGGUUGUGACGUUUCUCACGAUGAAAAUUAAAAGGUGAUUGAGCACGUAGAAACCAAUUUGCCAAAUCAUUCAACUCAGACUUGGAAGUGCCUGUAAAAGUACAUUUCCGAAAUGGCGUGCCUCGUGUGUCUCGCUGCCUGCCUUAGACGUACGUCUCAUCCCAUGCAACAGCAAAAAGUGUAACAAACACUUCUUUAACGGUGUUGGUUACCUUGUUGCAGUCAAAUGGUGAAAGGUGUGACAAAGAUAGAUUGAACCAUUGUAUGCAGCAUGCGGUUGCAAUGUAAUCCAGAAGUUGCUAUGCUGUUGUAGCUGAGCUGUUCCAUCUGGGUUCCUGACUUAAACAAUUUUUUGUUGUCAUUUUCAUCCAUGCCAUAUGAAAUUGCUCUGCCAGUGAUAUUUUGUGUUGCCGAGUUAAAAGUUUGAUCUGUUGUCUUUUGAGUUUUCAUUCAAUCAUGCAGUAUACGACUGAGGCAACCUGAUCAAUAUCAGGUUUGACACAGUCGAGA